GGCACAUCUUGAUCAUAUCGUAAAUAGAUUUAGCAUUGUGUCAAAGCUCCUUCCUCUCUAAUUUGAUGGCUCGCCAAUGGCUCUGAUGACUUAUUGAUGCUUGAUCGAUACCUUCUGAUGACAUUACCAACGGAUAAAGAGCUGGAUCCAAUAACAGCUUCCCGUGUUCUCAACAAAGAUCUGUAAGCUUGUCAGUUGGUGACAAAGCACAUGCCUUGAACAUGAAUGAUCUUGAGUUCAACCUGAAGUAUCUCCAAGUCAAAUUGAAAGAUCCUCUCUCAGAAAUCCACGGAAAAUCACCCCUAAGAAACGUUGCAAAGUGUCACCUGACGAGGACCAGCUGUAUUUGGAUGGGGCCAGAGGCCACUGAGAUUUGGAGACCAAGCACGGCUUGAUUGUGGCUGCUGAAAUCACCCCCCUUGUGUGAAGAUUUUGUUGUUUAACUCAAAGUUGACAAAUUUUCUUAGAACAUCUGGUGGAGAAACUGGUGCAGGGUCAAGAAUUUGGAGAGCUCGUUGCAAAGAACCAAAAGGUCAACUCAAGAGAAGAUCCAUUCUUCUAGCAUCUGCAUCUGGACAACUGAGGGCUUCAGGUGGCUGAGAAAGAUGGACAAAUGGAAAAAAGCAAAUGAGACAGAUAAUCUUACACGAAGACAAAGGUCCUUCUUCCAUUGUCUCUCUCCGAUGACACACAGCAUCUGAGAAAUUCGACACCUUCUCCCAGCCUUCCGUUGUGUG